AUUGAACGCUGGCGGCAUGCCUUACACAUGCAAGUCGAACGGCAGCAUGAUCUAGCUUGCUAGAUUGAUGGCGAGUGGCGAACGGGUGAGUAAUACAUCGGAACGUGCCCUGUAGUGGGGGAUAACUAGUCGAAAGAUUAGCUAAUACCGCAUACGACCUGAGGGUGAAAGUGGGGGACCGCAAGGCCUCAUGCUAUAGGAGCGGCCGAUGUCUGAUUAGCUAGUUGGUGAGGUAAAGGCUCACCAAGGCGACGAUCAGUAGCUGGUCUGAGAGGACGAUCAGCCACACUGGGACUGAGACACGGCCCAGACUCCUACGGGAGGCCGCAGUGGGGAAUUGUGGACAAUGGGGGAAAGCCUGAUCCAGCAAUGCCGCGUGUGUGAAGAAGGCCUUCGGGUUGUAAAGCACUUUUGUCCGGAAAGAAAUGGCUCUGGUUAAUACCUGGGGUCGAUGACGGUACCGGAAGAAUAAGGACCGGCUAACUACGUG
rnacentral:rRNA from 1 species